GGAAGGUUGGCAGAGCGGUUGAAUGCACCAGUCUUGAAAACUGGCGACGUCGCAAGGCGUCCGUGAGUUCGAAUCUCACACCUACCGCCA
rnacentral:tRNA from 1 species